rnacentral:rRNA from 1 species
CGGGUGAGUAACACGUGGAUAACCUACCUAUAAGACUGGGAUAACUUCGGGAAACCGGAGCUAAUACCGGAUAAUAUAUUGAACCGCAUGGUUCAAUAGUGAAAGACGGUUCUGCUGUCACUUAUAGAUGGAUCCGCGCCGCAUUAGCUAGUUGGUAAGGUAACGGCUUACCAAGGCAACGAUGCGUAGCCGACCUGAGAGGGUGAUCGGCCACACUGGAACUGAGACACGGUCCAGACUCCUACGGGAGGCAGCAGCU